CGAACCCGUGUAUAAAAGCCUGGAACCCAACACUGGACUUAUAGUCGUAGUGCAGCCGAGCUUUGCAGCAGCUCAAAGUCUACUCAAUUUCCACAUCCUAUAAAUACAGGUUAUUUCCGUCUGCAAAAUGAAGCUCUUGGCCAUUGCUGUCAUCUUGUGCCUCGCUGUGGUGUACACUCAGGCUUCACCAGCCGAAAUGCCAUCUUCACCACUGCUGCUUAGUCGGGGGGCCAGGUCACCUCACUUCCCUCACCGAGACUGUAUCCCGUGUACUUGCAUAAAGAAGGUCACAAUCAUCACCAAAAUCGAAUACGAAGUCAUUCCACCAUCCACCAGGUUCGGCGGCAGCCAACGGUGCUGCCCAUGCCCUAACUUCUAAUGCCGCUGUUUCUCAUGGACCGAUGACGCCAAUCUUCUGAUUAUGUUCUAGACGGAAAAUCAGAAAAAUCAAGAAAGAAAACACUCACUGUUAUUGAAUAUUUUUAUAUGCAAAUAAAAUUGAUAUAACUAAUCA